rnacentral:rRNA from 1 species
AGAGUUUGAUCCUGGCUCAGGACGAACGCUGGCGGCGUGCCUAAUACAUGCAAGUAGAACGCUGAAGAGAGGAGCUUGCUCUUCUUGGAUGAGUUGCGAACGGGUGAGUAACGCGUAGGUAACCUGCCUUGUAGCGGGGGAUAACUAUUGGAAACGAUAGCUAAUACCGCAUAACAAUGGAUGACACAUGUCAUUUAUUUGAAAGGGGCAAUUGCUCCACUACAAGAUGGACCUGCGUUGUAUUAGCUAGUAGGUGAGGUAAUGGCUCACCUAGGCGACGAUACAUAGCCGACCUGAGAGGGUGAUCGGCCACACUGGGACUGAGACACGGCCCAGACUCCUACGGGAGGCAGCAGUAGGGAAUCUUCGGCAAUGGGGGCAACCCUGACCGAGCAACGCCGCGUGAGUGAAGAAGGUUUUCGGAUCGUAAAGCUCUGUUGUAAGUCAAGAACGGGUGUGAGAGUGGAAAGUUCACACUGUGACGGUAGCUUACCAGAAAGGGACGGCUAACUACGUGCCAGCAGCCGCGGUAAUACGUAGGUCCCGAGCGUUGUCCGGAUUUAUUGGGCGUAAAGCGAGCGCAGGCGGUUUGAUAAGUCUGAAGUUAAAGGCUGUGGCUCAACCAUAGUUCGCUUUGGAAACUGUCAAACUUGAGUGCAGAAGGGGAGAGUGGAAUUCCAUGUGUAGCGGUGAAAUGCGUAGAUAUAUGGAGGAACACCGGUGGCGAAAGCGGCUCUCUGGUCUGUAACUGACGCUGAGGCUCGAAAGCGUGGGGAGCGAACAGGAUUAGAUACCCUGGUAGUCCACGCCGUAAACGGUGGAUGCUGGAUGUGGGGCCCGUUCCACGGGUUCCGUGUCGGAGCUAACGCGUUAAGCAUCCCGCCUGGGGAGUACGGCCGCAAGGCUAAAACUCAAAGAAAUUGACGGGGGCCCGCACAAGCGGUGGAGUAUGUGGUUUAAUUCGAUGCAACGCGAAGAACCUUACCCAGGCUUGACAUCUAGGGAACCCUUCGGAAAUGAAGGGGUGCCCUUCGGGGAGCCCUAAGACAGGUGCUGCAUGGCUGUCGUCAGCUCGUGCCGUGAGGUGUUGGGUUAAGUCCCGCAACGAGCGCAACCCCUAUCUUCAGUUGCCAGCAGGUAAGGCUGGGCACUCUGGAGAGACCGCCCCGGUCAACGGGGAGGAAGGUGGGGACGACGUCAAGUCAUCAUGGCCCUUACGCCUGGGGCUACACACGUACUACAAUGGCGCGCACAAAGGGUAGCGAGACCGCGAGGUGGAGCCAAUCCCAAAAAACGCGUCCCAGUCCGGAUUGGAGUCUGCAACUCGACUCCAUGAAGUCGGAAUCGCUAGUAAUUCGAGAUCAGCAUGCUCGGGUGAAUGCGUUCCCGGGCCUUGUACACACCGCCCGUCACACCACGAAAGUCGGUUUUACCCGAAGCCGGUGAGCUAACUCGCAAGAGGAGCAGCCGUCUACGGUAGGGCCGAUGAUUGGGGUGAAGUCGUAACAAGGUAGCCGUAGGGGAACCUGCGGCUG